UAGCCUAGGGAGGCAGCAGUAGGGAAUUUUCGUCAAUGGGCGCAAGCCUGAACGAGCAAUGCCGCGUGAACGAGGAAGGUCUUCGGAUCGUAAAGUUCUGUUGAAGGGGAAAAAGAGCGGAGAGAGGAAAUGGUCUCCGAUCGAUAUUACCCUUCGAGGAAGUCACGGCUAACUAUGUGCCAGCAGCCGCGGUAAUACGUAGGUGGCGAGCGUUAUCCGGAAUGAUUGGGCGUAAAGGGUGCGUAGGCGGCCUGCUAAGUCUGGAGUGAAAGGUACCGGCUCAACCGGUACAGGCUCUGGAAACC
rnacentral:rRNA from 1 species